GCCGGGUUGGCUGAGCGGUUAGGCGACCGCCUGCAGAGCGGUAGCACGAAGGUUCGAAUCCUUCGCCCGGCU
rnacentral:tRNA from 1 species